rnacentral:lncRNA from 13 species
AUGUCAGAAGCCAAUACAGCAAAAAUUGAUACCACAGACAUUCUACAGGAAGAUCGUACAGCUCAGCUUGAUAUGCCUGAUCUCGAGGACAACAAGAUAAUUAUCACUGAUACUACUUACAUGGAAAGAUAUAGCAAAACUGCAAACAAUGAGCCUGACCUUACAAAAAAAGACAAUUCUAUCAGAUUUGAGGCCACAAAUAUAAAGAAUGAUGGUAGGACUAAUUAUGACAAAGCUGAUACCAAAUCUGUCAUGAUUGUCACUGAUAUUAAUGAAGCUAUUUCCAAUAUCAAUUCCAUUAAUACUACAAAUUAUCCUCUUAAUGGUAGAAUGCAUAAGAAAAGCAAUAAUAUUGUCAGUAAUUCCACUGAUAUUAAAACAAUGAUAGAUGUAUCUAAAAGUACAAUGCAUGUGGGGGACUUAAUGAUUUCCAAAACAAAUGGUACCACCUCUACAAAGCAUUACAUUAACCCUAACACUGUAGAGCCAAUUACUAACACUAACUUUAAAACAAUGUGGCCUUUAAAGGAAGGUACCAUAGUAGAAGCCAGACACACUGUUCAGAUGGAAAACAUCACGAUGCCCUACAAUAUCAAUACUGCUGAAGCAAUUGAAUCUAAAGCAAAUGACUCAACAACUAAGUAUCAUUCUAAUAUACCUGCCAAUAUACAACUCAAAACUGAUAGGGACAAUUUUAAGUCUGUGAGCACUUACGGAAUUGAGAAUGUUAUUUCCAGGGUCAAAGAAUUUGCAAAUAUGAACCAAGAUGACAGAGUUAUAGAAGUCAUCUUUAUUCAUCCAAACACUUCACCAGCAGAAAUUAGAAGAAAAACUUACUCUCCUAACCCUGAUGAAGAUUAUACCAAAACAGCAGGAAACAAAAUUACUCUCCUUCCUGACAACUCUAAUGUGUUUAAUCUCCUAUUCAAAUAUAAAAUAAUGCCCGUUACAAUAGACAGCAAAAACCUCGUUAACAGAAGAGGUGGCAAUAGAACCUCCUCCACCGUUACUGCAAAUGACCCCCAAACCAAAAGGGACUUUGAAAGAACUACUGCACCUAAACAUCCAGUUUCCAGAACAGUAUCAGCCCUAUAG